rnacentral:rRNA from 1 species
GUUAGAACGCUCGUAGUCGGAUUUCGGGGCGGGCCGACCGGUCUGCCGAUGGGUACGCACUGGUCGGCGCGUCCUUCCUUCCGGAGACCGUGCCUACUCUUAACUGAGCGGGGGCGGGAGACGGAACGUUUACUUUGAAAAAAUCAGAGUGUUUCAAGCAGGCAGCUCGCUCUUGCAUGGAUUAGCAUGGGAUAAUGAAAUAGGACUUUGGUGCUAUUUUGUUGGUUUCGAACACCGAAGUAAUGAUGAGAAGGGACGGUCAGGGGCACUCGUAUUCCGCCGAGAGAGGUGAAAUUCUCAGACCAGCGGAAGACGAACCACUGCGAAAGCAUUUGCCAGGGAUGUUUUCACUGAUCAAGAACGAAAGUUAGGGGAUCGAAGACGAUCAGAUACCGUCGUAGUCUUAACCAUAAACCAUACCGACUAGGGAUUGGAGGAUGUUCACUGAUUGACUCCUUCAGCACCUUACGGGAAACUAAAGUCUUUGGGUUCCGGGGGGAGUAUGGUCGCAAGGCUGAAACUUAAAGGAAUUGACGGAAGGGCACCACCAGGUGUGGAGCCUGCGGCUUAAUUUGACUCAACACGGGGAAACUUACCAGGUCCAGACAUUGUGAGGAUUGACAGAUUGAGAGCUCUUUCUUGAUUUGAUGGGUGGUGGUGCAUGGCCGUUCUUAGUUGGUGGAGUGAUUUGUCUGGUUAAUUCCGUU